UUGUUCUAAAGAUUUGU
rnacentral:rRNA from 1 species